rnacentral:lncRNA from 1 species
AAGACGAAGUGAGCCCUCACUCCCUGUAACUCUGUCUAGCUGCUGAAUUCCAUCUGCAGCCGGUGACUCUGCCCCAGUGAAAGCUCUUCUGGGGUGUCACGUGGCCAAAAGCAGACCAACUGAAAUUCACAAGGCACGGAAGCUGUCUGCCACCCUCCCCGGGCUCUGAGGGUGAGCAUCGUGAUCUGGAGGGAAGACGGGCAAACGUGCUUGGGGCCCGAGGCGGAUGUCACUCUAGUCGGAGCUGAUGUGACGACCUGUGUCACCUUCGCUCAGCACCCCAGACUCUUUCAGCCGCCCGUCCUUCCAUGCCUGUUUCUGAGCCAAUCACCAAGGCCAGGGGCCGAGGGUGGAGGAUGCUGCUUGGCCAGACGUGGGGCACGGUGCCCACUUUCUGAGGGAGGGGAAGUGCUUUAGCCCCACCCACCCCUAAGGACCCAUGGAAAGGAAGAGCAUGGCGAUGUCUCCCGAAGGAAGAGAAAUGGGUGGCAGGUGCCCUGGAUUUCUCGUCUGGUGCGCUUCCUCCUGCAGACCUCGUUGCCUGGCUCCCGGGAAGGCAGUCUGCUUCCAUCACGUGCAUCCCUGUGAUCGGGAGGAAGACCACUCCCCAGGACCUGCAGGUUCACCUUCCCUUAGGCUGAAGAGCUUUCUGAGUGUGCCCCUGACCCGACCUCCUGCAGGCCCUGCCCUGACCCCUCCUGACCCUGACCCUGGCCUCCCCUGACCCGACCUCCUGCAGGCCCUGCCCUGACCCCUCCUGACCCUGACCCUGGCCUGCCCUGACCCAACUUCCUGCAGGCCCUGCCCUGACCCUCCUGACCCUGACCCUGACCCUGGCCUCUCCUCUCACCUCCUGAGGGCUGUCCCUCUCGGACGCAGUCAUGUUCUUCCAUGGCUUUCUCAUCCUGCUUUCUUUUCUCAGCACACACUGUUCUCAGGGCUGAUGGUUUAUGCCUCUUUAAGUGCACACUUUCUAAAGAACCCAUGUGGGACCCGUGUGGCUCUGAGACCAGGGGUCCCCAGAACACAGAAGAAUGGCGAGAGCUUCGGCAUCUCAUAAGACAGUUGUUGACGUGUAUUCCAGUAACCCACACUCUGUAAGCUGGUCCCCAGAAAGGAGUUCCUUGGUCAAAAGCCUCAGGGAAAUUCCACAUUGACAACUUCUUGAGAAACCUCAGGGUAAGCUAACUGGUGUGAUUUUGUUGAAUUUAACUUUUCCCAAAUGCAUUUGAUUACUGGACUCUGCUUUCUUCCUUUGCGACUUUUAGUUAACAUCCCGAAGAAGCUCUAGGGCAAACCUUGAUGUGAAAUAGCCAUGCCUCUUUAAACCACGUCACCUUUGCCUAAGAACUGACUCAGCUUCAGGGCCCACGAGUAUCCCAGCCCUCCCAGGAAGUUUUUCUUGAUUCCUUCGGCUAGAAACAAUCUUUCCUUUCUAGGAAUCUUCAUGUCAGGACUUUCAUGAAUGACUCUGGAGCAGGUACUGGGUGGCAUGCUGUUGAGACGCACUUUGACUCAGAUGCAUGUCUGAGUCCUGCCUGAUAACUGCUGCUACGGGCUGGGUGAACCUGAACAGAUUUCCUCAACUUCCUGGAGCUCCAUGUGUAACCGUCUCCUUAUCUACAGCACAGGAUAAGAAGUUAAUCCACGUGCGACAUUUUCCCGUGAACAGCUCAGCAGACUGGUGGCAUGGAGUGAGCGUCUGACGGGUGACUGCUGCUGCUAUCACCGGUGUCGUUACUAUCACCACCAUUGAGCUGCGUGCUGGGCUCAGUCGUGUCUGACACUUUGUGACCCCGAUUCGAGGUGUCCGUAUCUAUUCAGUGAAUUGAGUUGCAGUCCAUGCCAGGACCCCAGAGGGCCAUUUGGAGCAUGUCCUCAGCCACAGAGAUUACCCUGAGGGUCAGCAGCACUGACCUCUCUUAAAUCCCCCUCUGAACCCUCAUUUUGGGCUGAGGAGAUGCUCUGACUCAUGAUUAGAGAAUGGAGGGUCUCAUGCCUUGAGUCAGAUCCAAGGAUGAGACUGGGUUUGCAGGCUGGGCUCCUCUCAUAGGGCUGCCAAGCCCUCCCCCUGUCCACGCGAGGCUGGUGUGGGUUAAUGAGUCUCUCUCCCUGUAAUAAUCUGAUCAAUGGCUCCUCCCUACGCUGCUCCUCGACGGAACCUCUAGGUCCUUUCUUUGGCUGGUUCCAGCCUAGUGGAGACCUCUGCAUAGACCAUUAUUGCUUAAUUACUGGCUAAAUGGUCUCAUUUGUUCUCCAUUUGUCAGCAGUGAGUCCCGCCAGGGCAGCCAAGAGAAUUUUGAAAUUUCUCAUCAAGCUCUGGCUUUAGGAAGUGAAGACACCUGGGUCUCCUUCCUUUCUGCUGGUGUCUGGCGACACUGGGCACAGACCUGGGGGAGCAGCUCCUGGAGCUGGUGUUGGUGCCUCUUCCCACAGCGUCUCCACAGCUUUCUUUGCUCUCCUUGCUUUUGCUUAUCCCCCCCACCCCAUUUUUGCCUUGGCCUCUCCACUCUUUCAGCCCAGCAUGGUAGAAUGAACUUGAACCCUGCAACCAUGAAACCUGAGUUUGAAGUCCACUGGCCACCUGUGUGGCUGAAAGUCCAUAUUUCCAUAUGCAGAACGCACACUUCACAGAGGCACACCGAGCGUGGCUCGAGAGUGACUUUCCACCGUCGGCUGCCGUUGUGUAUGUCGCACACUUACGAGCUUUAAUUAUGCUUUUGUAGCAUACAUGGUACAUCUCAUACUUCUGUGGCCCUUUCAUAGGGCCUCUCACAAAGCUGAGGAGUCUGGCUCAGGUCCCCCUUUCAAGCCGGCAUUAUCUUUUGCUCCUUCCCCACCACUCAUCUUCUUUCUCCUGCAGUGUUCCACAUGGACGCUACGGGUCCAGAGCGGGAGGCUUUUGGAUUUCAAUAAUGUUGUUAAAAAAUCUUCUCUGUGCUCUUUUUUCUAUGUGAAAAAAUCAACUUGCUAAUAAAUAGUUAAUCUGAAGUGCA